CACCACCGGCGGCGGCAGCUUUGGGAUGAGUAGCUCAGGUUUUAAAAAGAAAAAGGAUGAGCUGAUUGCCUGAUUCUGCUUCUUGACGAAACCUACUGGAAGAUGUUAAUAUGCUCCGCAGCUCGCUGGAAGGUGGAUGAGCUUUGCUGAUAUUUUUUAGGAUUACUUUGUUGAACUGUGUGCUGAUGCUCAUGACUAGUGGAUUUAAGCGUGCGACUCUGUUGACGAAAUAUGUGGAUGACUGACUCAGUGUAGUGACAAUAUUGAUGCUAUGACAUGCCUUACUGUUC